AGUGAACGCUGGCGGUAGGCCUAACACAUGCAAGUCGAACGGCAGCACAGUAAGAGCUUGCUCUUACGGGUUGCGAGUGGCGGACGGGUCAGGUAUACAUCCGAAUCUACUUUUUCGUGGGGGAUAACGUAGGGAAACUUACGCUAAUACCGCAUACGACCUACGGGGGAAAGCAGGGGAUCUUCGGACCUUGCGCGAUUGAAUGAGCCGAUGUCGGAUUAGCUAGUUGGCGGGGUAAAGGCCCACCAAGGCGACGAUCGGUAGCUGGUCGGAGAGGAUGGUCGGCCACACUGGAGCUGAGACACGGUCAAGACUCCUGCGGGAGGCAGCAGUGGGGAAUAUUGGACAAUGGGCGCAAGCCUGAUCCAGCCAUACCGCGUGGGUGAAGAAGGCCUUCGGGUUGUAAAGCCCUUUUGUUGGGAAAGAACAGCAGCAGGUUAAUACCCCGCUGUUCUGACGGUACCCAAAGAAUAAGCACCGGCUAACUUCGUG
rnacentral:rRNA from 1 species